rnacentral:tRNA from 1 species
GAGGGUAUAGCUCAGUGAUAGAGCACGUGCUUGACAUGCAGGAGCUCCUAGUUUCAAUCCCCAGUACCUCUG